rnacentral:rRNA from 1 species
AUUGAACGCUGGCGGCAGGCCUAACACAUGCAAGUCGAACGAGUGGCGGACGGGUGAGUAAUGUCUGGGAAACUGCCUGAUGGAGGGGGAUAACUACUGGAAACGGUAGCUAAUACCGCAUACCAUCGGAUGUGCCCAGAUGGGAUUAGCUAGUAGGUGGGGUAAAGGCUCGUCUAGGCGACGAUCCCUAGCAGGUCUGAGAGUGUGACACGCCACCCUGGAACUGAGACACGGUCCAGACUCCUACGGGAGUCAGCAGUGGGGAAUAUUGCACAAGUGGCGCAAGCCUGAUGCAGCCAUGCCGCGUGUAUGAAGAAGGCCUUCGGGUUGUAAAGUACUUUCAGCGGGGAGGCGGUACCCGCAGAAGAAGCACCGGCUAACUCCGUGCCAGCAGCCGCGGUAAUUC